rnacentral:rRNA from 1 species
AUUGAACGCUGGCGGCAUGCCUUACACAUGCAAGUCGAACGGUAACAGGUCUUCGGAUGCUGACGAGUGGCGAACGGGUGAGUAAUACAUCGGAACGUGCCCAGACGUGGGGGAUAACGAGGCGAAAGCUUUGCUAAUACCGCAUACGAUCUAAGGAUGAAAGCAGGGGACCGCAAGGCCUUGCGCGUUUGGAGCGGCCGAUGGCAGAUUAGGUAGUUGGUGGGAUAAAAGCUUACCAAGCCGACGAUCUGUAGCUGGUCUGAGAGGACGACCAGCCACACUGGGACUGAGACACGGCCCAGACUCCUACGGGAGGCAGCAGUGGGGAAUUUGGGACAAUGGGCGAAAGCCUGAUCCAGCAAUGCCGAGUGCAGGAUGAAGGCCUUCGGGUUGGAAACUGCUUUUGUACGGAACGAAAAGGCUCUGGCUAAUACCUGGGGCACAUGACGGUACCGUAAGAAUAAGCACCGGCUAACUA